GAAAAGGAAUGCUGUCUGUGACGGCGGAGGUGUUCGAAAUAGCGCCGGAAGUUGCGAUAGUGGAAUUCUCAAAGUCGUCCGGCGAUACUCUGGAAUAUUCGAAGUUCUGUGAAGAAGACGUCCGGCCGGCGCUGAAAGACAUCGUUUGGACGUGGCAAGGUGAAUGUGUCCCUAACGUUGACGGACGUCACGGCCAAUUUGACGGCGAC
rnacentral:misc_RNA from 1 species